rnacentral:rRNA from 1 species
UACGUAGGUCCCGAGCGUUGUCCGGAUUUAUUGGGCGUAAAGCGAGCGCAGGUGGUUUAUUAAGUCUGGUGUAAAAGGCAGUGGCGCAACCAUUGUAUGCAUUGGAAACUGGUAGACUUGAGUGCAGGAGAGGAGAGUGGAAUUCCAUGUGUAGCGGUGAAAUGCGUAGAUAUAUGGAGGAACACCGGUGGCGAAAGCGGCUCUCUGGCCUGUAACUGACACUGAGGCUCGAAAGCGUGGGGAGCAAACAGG